UGCAGAUGGGUCAGGAUGGAUGGGAAAAAUUCUGUAGCUUCGAAGUCACCAGGAUCAAAUAAUGGAGAAGAGAAGAAUAAGGCUUCGAAAAGAGCAGUUCACACACACGAUUCUAGGUCGGGAAGGGAAUUCCUCCAUGUGAAAGGCCAGCAAACAUUCACUCUGAGGACAGCUCACCUCGUUCAAUACUGAGUAAUAAUUAAAGAGGAAUCAACAGAGGAUGUAAACAAAGAUUUCACAAGAAAAAAGAACAGAAAGUAUGAGUAGUAGAAGACUUUAACUCACCUUUGUCAGCAUGACAUCAAAGAAUCAGAAAGCAAGUAAGAAUUUAAGACACAGCAAAGACAAAGUAACCAGUCUCCAGAUUCUGCAGUCCAGCGUGAAAUGGCAUCACAUGGAGAAUGUAGCUGCCUGCCUAUGGGACGCGUACUCAGGCCUGUUCGGUGACCAAGCCAUGAUCCUUGCUAUGAACUCCAGCUAUGUAGAUCCCCUUCUGCAGUUUGAAACCCAACUGAAGAUAAUAAAGUCCUCCUUUAAAAUGGUAUUUUCUAUACCAAGUCUUGAGGAAGUGAAGGAAAUGGGAGACCGGGAAGAUGACAAAGAGGACCUGGAGAAUCUGUAUCAAAACACUUUAAACUUAUUUGAGGACACUCUUCUGAUCUUAGUGUCUAAAGAUCUCUACAAACUGCAAAUCUUAAAGGACAUGGCUGAGUGGAUAAACGAAGACAGCUCCUACCUGCAGGAGAGGGUUGUGCUGGUCGUCAGCAGGGUGCUAAGCUUCGCGUCCCGCAGAGUCAGGGGAUACGCAAGUGUUGAUGCCCCGUGUUUGGGUGUCCUGGCAGCAGAAUUGUCUCUUCUGUGUUGCCACAGUGAUCCCUUAAUCACACAGCAGGCAGCCUCAGGACUGUGCCACCUCCUCUGCAUUGCAAAGUGUCAGAAUGCGGGUACUGAAAGAAAAAGAUCCACCGUGUGUGAGAAGUCCGGCGAUCACUGCCUCCUGAAUACUCCCUCUGAUAUGGAAUUCCUACCUAACGUCUUGCAACGGGACAAAACUAAAAUUACCCAGAGUGUAGGAUUGACCCUGCUGCCAUCCUUGCUGACUGACUUUGUGUGGAGUCUCCUCAUGAGACUCUCUUCACCUAAUAACAUAAUCGCAUUCAGGGCAUCCACCAUGCUGAAGUUGACCUUGGAAUACCACGCACAUAAGGUCACCAUGGUGUCUAAGAUUGUGGACACCAUCUAUAAGCAGUUGUGUGAGAAUCCUUCUCAUGUCAUGAAGCACACAAUGCUGCGGGUCGUCACCCUGUUAACACGCACCUCACCGAAGAAGGUUGUCUUCCAACUGAUGGAUUACCCAGUCCCAGCAGACAACACGUUGAUCCUGAUGUGGCACGCGGCGGGUUCCGAGUCGAGCGUGGCCCCUCACGUGCUGAAGACAAUCUUGCUGAUCCUGAAAGGCAAGCCUGGGGAAAUGCAGGAUAGCCUCAAGGAAAGAAGGCGGUUCUCUCUUGAUACCACUAAUAUGAUGCCUGUAGCGGCCUCGCAGGCCCUGUGCACGCUGCUGCCCGUCGGCUCCUACAGGAAGGCGGUGGCGCAGGUGUUCCCGCAGCUGCUGAUGGCCCUCAUGCUCCAGCUCUGCUACAGCAGGGACCUGCGGCUGGUGACCGGGAACAGGACGCUCUACGCCCAGGACGCCCUGCGGGUGCUGCUGACCUGCUCCGGGCUGCAGCAGGUGGACGCUGCCCUGAAGAGGAAGAACUGCUGGAGCCGGUUCAGCCACGCGCCCUCCCACCACUACGGGGUCUACCUCGUCGCCAAAGCUCUCAGUGAAUACAACUUCCCACAGUUUCCAGAGACCUUGCAUUACCUCUACAAGCUCUCAGUGGAAGAUCCUAGACGGUCAGAAGACAGUAUCAUCACAGUAAUAUUCCUCACUGAAAUCCUGAAUAAUUUCUUCAAGGACCCAUUCCCAGAAGAGUUUUUGGUUCUCUUCAGAAACUGGGUUAAUGACGCCAAUCCCACGGUUAGCAAGCUGAGCCUUCAGAAAAUCGCCAGCAUGGCGCCAGUGAUCAAUGAGAUAGAAAAUGUCUGCAGCUUGUUGGUGUCCGUCUUGGAUGCCUUCCUUUCAAAAGACAAAACUGUUAUAAUUCGAGCCUUAAUCACCCUUCGAAGACUUCUAAUCAGACUGGACAAGGUGACCUACUCCUCUCUGUGUACUAGAAUUGCUUCCAGCUACUGUCCUCUGAUGGAUCACAGUGACGGGGGCAUCCGGAGUAUGGCCAUUCAGCACUUCGGCGAGUUACUCAGGGACAUGAGUGAGUACACGUGGAUGCUGAAUGACGUGAUUCUUCGAGGUUUGGCGCCCCUGAUCCUGUUUUUGGAAGACACAGAAAUUAGAGUCGCUCAAGCAUGUAAGUAUACGUUAGCGAUCUGCGUCUCAGAAUUAAACUGGCCAACGUGGCAUUUGCUCAAGGACGAGUUUUACAGUUUCGAGGUGGUGGUGCUCAGCAUCUGCAGCAAUCUCCUUACAUCUCAUGAGAACUACAUUACAUAUCUGAUAUCUGAUACCUUAGGAUUCCUGAGAAGCUCCCGAGUAUAUCUGAGGAGAUCGUCGGUUAUUUUAAUAGGGUACUUGGCAAAGGUAGGUGGCCACCUACUGCUCAGAGAUGAAAUAGAAGUCAUGCUUGAGGCCAUUGACCUGAGGCUUCGAGACGAAGACCUUGUGACCAGGGAGUUGGCGGAGAUAACCUACACAGUUUUUAAGGAAAUAGCCCAUAGAUUGACCUCCUCCAACCUUAAACAAAUCUUCCGAAGAGUAUUUAACUCUAUCUACACAAAAAAACUGAAGCCUCUUUAUAAUUAUAAGUGGUCCGACAACCCCACCCACAGUCCUGUGAGGAUUAAGGAAACCAAGAAUGACAAGGAAGCCCAUAUGGGUGAGAAUUAGGAAACAGUUCAGUAAAGAAUGAGAUGUAGGUCUGUGGCUCAGAACACACCUCAGAAGAGAAAUGAUUUUCCUUUUCCUCUUGAUAAUGAGUCUAUACAUACAUGCUUUUCUGAAGGAUGCUAGAAGCCUUUCCUGUCACCUAAUUCUCUGUUCAAAUAUCGAAAUCCAUUGCCUUCCUAUGUUUAACAGUGAUCGAUUAAUACAGCUGAAAAAUCAUAUAAGCAAAGUGUUUGAUGAGAAGCUCUUGGAUUUUUAUUUAAUCGAUAAGCAUCUAUUGAACACCUUCUAAGUACCAGGCACUAUGCUAGGCAGUGGGGACAUUUGGGUUCUAUAAACAAGGUUCCUGUUCUCAGGAAGGUCGUGGUCUAGUGACACACCCGUGUGCCUGUUUCCAUCCUUCUGGGACAAAUACUGCCUCGAGCAGCACUGAGAACGGAAGAAAUGGGACUCGCACGGAAGGAGGAAGGGAAGUAGGGAGAUGUCAUUUCUGGGGCAAGAAGAGUCCUGGGGGAAAGCAGGCGACUUUGUCAUGGACACAGGUGGGCAGGGGAAGAAUGGGGAGAGCUGAGUCCCGAGGGGAAGAGGACGCUGUGCUAAUCACUUCAAACUUUCAAAAUGAAAACUGGAUAACCCACUCUCGUUAGUAGUGGCCCAUGGCCCUCAGGAAGCAGUCGAACCCUGUCCAGACCCAUCAGAAAGUCCCCAGUGAUCUUGCUUGCUUGAUCUUGCUUGACCUGUGGCUUGGGUUCAUCACUGUAUCUCCCUCCCACCCUGUCCUCCCCCCAACAUCAGACCCUCCAGUUACAGGAAACGACUUGUAGUUAGCUGAAAGCCCAGGUGGUUCAGGUGUUGCGUCUUUGUAAUACGCCCACUUGCAGUGCAUGGAUGUUUUCAUUUCUCUGGUGUGGGGCAGCAGCCACUGCCUCUGCCUGGGGUCCUCCUUCAGCUGCUCUGACUUCUGUUGACAAAGGACACGAGCUUCUCCUGUGAGCUACGUACAUCAUCAACAGCUUGAAUGGUAGAGGCCGCCGGAGAGUAACAUACGUCCAAGACUGUGGGUUUUCCCCCUCCUCUCCCACUCCCACUGUACAUGCCCCUUCCCUUCCCAACUGCGUGCCCUGCAAACGCCACGCUCCAGCAUCCGAGUGAAGACAGCAGCCUUGCUGAGACUACGGAACCUCCAACUCCCUGCGGUCAAAUCCCUGAUGCUGCCUCUCUACUCAAACCCUGACCGAUACCUGUGAGAUGCAUUUUCCAGACGCCUUUGAUCAACUGCUUUCCUUAGAGGAUGCCAGUCAUAUGGGACCAGAGGCCAUCCCAUGACUUCAUGUAAGCUUUAUUACUUCCUUAAAGAAGCUGUCUCCAAAUACAGUCACAUUCUGAGGUACUGGGGUUAGGAUUUGAACAAAGGAAUCUGGGGCAACACAAUUCAUCCCAUAACCUUCGUUCCUACCACACCAGGUCUCCACUUUAUUGGGACAUUCAGACCCUUGAGCCCAUCCCCUUACAUGUUCAUUUCCUUCUCUGCACAGCCUAGGACUCUUGUCUUCCAUUUCAGCGACCUUCCUAACAAAAGAAACGAUACCACAGCCUUCUUCCGGUGACGUUCUAAGAAGACACAAAUGUUGGCUCAAUUCACCUGUUACAUAACUGAACGAUUGUGAAUUCGCUCUUUGGUGAAGCACAGAUCAGAGACUAUGCCAGGUGGGAUUGUCAGCUGAAGGAAACUUGAUCAGAUGCAAAUAAGGAAUCAUGGGUAAUAAAUUCCAA